AUGACUGACUCAGGACUGCAAACAAAUUUUGCAGUCACCUCUCCAGUACAGGACCUGGUUAUUCCUGAGUGCCCUCUACAGCAGUACAGCACAAAUCACAUGUCAAUUAUCAUGGAUAAUGUAUUGAAUACAAGCCUAACUUAUAUAUACCAUAGCAGCACUGCUGAAAAGGACCUGGAAGUCUUGGAGAACAGGAGGCCAAACCCAAGCCAUCCACGUGCCCUGGCUGUGAGGAAGGUCAACAUCAUCCUGGGCUGUAGCAGAAGAAACAGGGCCAGGAGUCUGAGUAAACCAUUUUCUCAGCUCUUAUUAGACCACAGCUAGGUAUUGCAUGAAGCUUCAGGCCUCCGGUACAAACAGCACGGUGGUAAACAAGACAACUGUGGAGGACUGCAGCACCUGAACUGUGAGGAGAGAGACCCAGGCUCACUGAGCCAAGAGGCACCUAAUAGCAGCCCCCCAGUGCCUACGGAAAGGUAAAUAACAAGACAGAUUCAAGCUCUUCACCGUCAUGUAUGCUGGGAGGAUGGGAGGAUGAGAGACAGUUGACAUAAGUUGAAACGAGAGGUUCAGGCUGGAUGUAAGGAAAAUCUUUUCACUCUGAGGAUAGUGAGGCAGAACAGGUAGUCCAGAAAGGUUGUGUAACCUCCAUCACUGCAGAUUUUCAAGACCAGAAUACACAAAACACUGAGCUACCUGAUCUGAUCUGACCUCUGACCCUCCUUGGAAAAGGAGGUUGGACUAGAGACCUCUUGAAACCUCUUCCAAUAUGAGCUUUCCUGUGAUUCUAAACCCCUGGAAGGAAAAACAAGAUUUAACUUCUGAAUUUGAGGUGUCAGCAAAGAGAAUUUCUCCCUCAAUUUGUUCUUUACUACAUUUGGAAGUAGGUCUUAGUUGACAUUCAUUCUGAGUAGCAACAUUACAUCAAAGAAAUACUUUUGUCAUAUUCCAUCCUUAGCAGAAACAGCCUUCAAGACCUGAAAUGUAGUCAUCAAUACCAAUAAUAACAACGAAAAUACUUCAAUAUAAAGUUAUAGAAUAACCCUUAUACAGGGAUAAUUUUUAUAACAAUGCUUUAGCACUUGCUUGCAAACACGGUAAUUUAUGAUCUGUGAUCUCUUCUGUGAUCUGUCCUGACCACUAUAUGCAAUACCUGUUUUCUAGGGUAGGAUCAGCUUACUAAAUGUAAAUGUCUAACAGUGAGAUAAUCAUUCUGGCUGCUUUUAUGAAAGAGAAGCCAGCACCUUUAUCUUACGAGUCUUCAUAUCCCAUGUCUGAAAUAAAUCAAUACACUCACA
rnacentral:lncRNA from 1 species